GACGAACGCUGGCGGCGUGCUUAACACAUGCUAGUCGAACGGAAAGGCCCCUUUGGGGGUACUCGAGUGGCGAACGGGUGAGUAACACGUGAGUAACCUGCCCUUGACAUCUGGAUAACGUCAGGAAACUGGGGCUAAUACCGGAAAGGAAUCAUUGGAGCAUGGGGGGGGUUGGAAAGCUUCGUCGGCUUUGGAUGGACUCGCGGCUUAUCAGCUGGUUGGUGGGGUAGUGGCUUACCAAGGCGUUGACGGGUAGCCGGCCUGAGAGGGCGAGCGGCCACAUUGGGACUGAGAUACGGCCCAGACUCCUACGGGAGGCAGCUGUGGGGAAUAUUGCACAAUGCGCGGAAGCCUGAUGCAGCAGCGCCGCGUGCGGGAUGACGGCCUUCGGGUUAUAAACCGCUUUCAGCAGGGGCGAAGCUUGUGGUGACGGUACCUGCAGAAGAAGCACCGGCUAACUACGUG
rnacentral:rRNA from 1 species